GAAAGAAACCAACAGGGAUUGCCUUAGUAACGGCGAGUGAAGCGGCAAAAGCUCAAAUUUGAAAUCUGGCACUUCUGGUGUCCGAGUUGUACUUUGGAGAGGCAUCUUCCGGAGGGGCCCAGCCUAUGUGCCUUGGAACAGGACGUCAUAGAGGGUGAGAAUCCCGUCUUUGGCUGGAUGUUCCCUCCUGUAUGUAGUGUCUUCUACGAGUCGAGUUGUUUGGGAAUGCAGCUCAAAAUGGGUGGUAAAUUUCAUCUAAAGCUAAAUAUUGGCGAGAGACCGAUAGCGCACAAGUAGAGUGAUCGAAAGAUGAAAAGCACUUUGAAAAUAGAGUCAAACAGUACGUGAAAUUGUUGAAAGGGAAGCGCUUGAGACCAGAUUCAGCCUUUGGCAAACAACUGUCCCUUCUGGGUGGUGCACUUGUCAUUGGUUGGGCCAGCAUCGGUUGGAACGGCAGGAUAAAGGCCCAGGGAAUGUGACUCCGCUAUGGAGUGUUAUAGCCCCAGGUGGCAUGCUGUCAGCCCCGACCGUGGACCGCGCCUCGGCUCGGAUGCUGGCUUAAUGGUCUUCAGCGACCCGUCUUGAAACACGGACCAAGGAGUCUAACGUCUAUGCAAGUGUUUGGGCUUCAAACCCUUACGCGUAAUGAAAGUAAACAGAGGUGGGAACCCUGAAAGGGGCGCACCAUCGACCGAUCCUGAUGUCUUCGGAUGGAUUUGAGUAGGAGCAUAGCUGUUGGGACCCGAAAGAUGGUGAACUAUGCCUGAAUAGGGUGAAGCCAGAGGAAACUCUGGUGGAGGCUCGCAGCGGUUCUGACGUGCAAAUCGAUCGUCAAAUUUGGGUAUAGGGGCGAAAGACUAAUCGAACCAUCUAGUAGCUGGUUCCUGCCGAAGUUUCCCUCAGGA
rnacentral:rRNA from 1 species